rnacentral:sRNA from 1 species
GCCUUAUUCGAGAGGUGUCAGGGCUGGGAGACUAGGAUGUCGGACACGUGGAGCUCUAUCCAGGCCCACAAGAAGCAGCUGGACUCUCUGCGGGAGAGGCUGCAGCGGAGGCGGAAGCAGGACUCGGGGCACUUGGAUCUACGGAAUCCAGAGGCAGCAUUGUCUCCAACCUUCCGUAGUGACAGCCCAGUGCCUACUGCACCCACCUCUGGUGGCCCUAAGCCCAGCACAGCUUCAGCAGUUCCUGAAUUAGCUACAGAUCCUGAGUUAGAGAAGAAGUUGCUACACCACCUCUCUGAUCUGGCCUUAACAUUGCCCACUGAUGCUGUGUCCAUCUGUCUUGCCAUCUCCACGCCAGAUGCUCCUGCCACUCAAGAUGGGGUAGAAAGCCUCCUGCAGAAGUUUGCAGCUCAGGAGUUGAUUGAGGUAAAGCGAGGUCUCCUACAAGAUGAUGCACAUCCUACUCUUGUAACCUAUGCUGACCAUUCCAAGCUCUCUGCCAUGAUGGGUGCUGUGGCAGAAAAGAAGGGCCCUGGGGAGGUAGCAGGGACUGUAACAGGGCAGAAGCGGCGUGCAGAACAGGACUCAACUACAGUAGCUGCCUUUGCCAGUUCGUUAGUCUCUGGUCUGAACUCUUCAGCAUCGGAACCAGCAAAGGAGCCAGCCAAGAAAUCAAGGAAACAUGCUGCCUCAGAUGUUGAUCUGGAGAUAGAGAGCCUUCUGAACCAACAGUCCACUAAGGAACAACAGAGCAAGAAGGUAGGGGUCAUGUGAAAAUACUCUCACAAUAUGCUCUUAAUUAUAGCUUUGUUUGACAGGGAUUUACCCCUAGGGCAAAGAACUGUUUACAGCAGUGGUUCUCAACUGGGGAUGAUUCCCUACUGCCCAGCUCCCAGGGGAUCUGGUAAUGUCCGGAGACAUUUUUAUUGUCACACAUGGGGGAGUGCUAUUGGCAUCUAGUGGGGGUAGAGGCCAGGGAUGUUGUUAAACAUCCUACAGUGCAUAGUGGGACAAACCCCCACAACAAACAGUUGUCUGUCCCAAAGUGUCAAUAAUGCCAACGUCGACAAAUUCUUAUUUAGAUAAUCUGUCACUGAAUCUGAAAGAAUUGGAUCAAGAGAAGAGGAAUCCAAAUAUAUAGAAAUAUAGGGAGAUGAAUGGAGAGGAAUACUAGAGCAAUUAUGGAAAUUGACUAAAUAAUGUGAAUUGGUUCUGAGUUUAAGUAUUGGCCUGACAUGAGUUCUUAUCUGUUUGGUACUUCUAGUGCGUGAGUUUGAACAAGUUAAUUAACUUCUCUUGAGCCUUAGUCUUCUCAUCUGUAACAUGAAGAUAAUACCAGCGUAUCCUGCCUUAUAGAAUUGAAUAGACUCUGAGCUAAAAAGUAAAGUGUUUAGCACUAUACUUUUUAGUUCAGCACCCAGUAAAUAUUUUUUUUGUAGAAGGAAUGCCUUCCUGGGAAGGGGAUGUUAACAUAAUGCUUAGUGGUAGGAACCAGGCCUCUUCCAUUUUAAUUUCAUCCCAAAUGCAUAUUUGUGAGGAAGGACUGAACCCCU